ACGGGAGGCAGCAGUGGGGAAUAUUGGGCAAUGGGCGCAAGCCUGACCCAGCAAUGCCGCGUGAAGGAAGAAGGCUUUCGGGUUGUAAACUUCUUUUAAGUGGGACGAUAAUGACGGUGCCACUUGAAUAAGCUCCGGCUAACUACGUGCCAGCAGCCGCGGUAAUACGUAGGGGGCAAGCGUUAUCCGGAUUUACUGGGUGUAAAGGGAGCGUAGACGGCAAUGCAAGUCUGAAGUGAAAGCCCGCGGCUUAACUACGGGACUGCUUUGGAAACUGCAUGGCUAGAGUGUCGGAGAGGUGAGUGGAAUUCCCAGUGUAGCGGUGAAAUGCGUAGAUAUUGGGAGGAACACCGGAGGCGAAGGCGGCUCACUGGACGAUUACUGACGUUGAGGCUCGAAAGCGUGGGGAGCAAACAGGAUUAGAUACCCUGGUA
rnacentral:rRNA from 1 species